rnacentral:misc_RNA from 1 species
GUGAAUCAUCAAAUUUUUGAACGCAAAUUGCACUCUCCUCGGAUAGUAUGCCUGUUUGAGGUUCAGCCUAUAAAAAUCGACAUAGUUUCUGUUGCGGUUUGGCGUUCGUCGUAAAGUUUGUCAUCUUAAUUCCUUUUGAUUUAAGCGACGUAAAAUUUUCUUUUUGUUCGAGGAACAUUUCUAAGAUCUAUUUCUUUACACGUUUAAGGUAUCGAUUUUUACUAUACUUAACCAUCAUAUCGGAUUGCGUCCA